GACGAACGCUGGCGGCGCGCUUAACACAUGCAAGUCGAACGGAAAGGCCUGCUUUCCCUUGUGGAUUGCGGGUACUCGAGUGGCUAACGGGUGAGUAACACGUGAGUGAUCUGCCCCCAACUUGGUUAUAAGCCUGGGAAACUGGGUCUAAUUCCCGAUAGGACUGCAGGGUGGUGCCUGUGGUGGAAAACGAUUUUCUAGUGGUUGGGGAUGAGCUCGCGGCCUAUCAGCUUGUUGGUGGGGUAAUGGCCUACCAAGGCGGCGACGGGUAGCCGGCCUGGGAGGGUGGACGGCCACAUUGGGACUGAGACACGGCCCAGACUCCUACGGGAGGCAGCAGUGGGGAAUAUUGCACCAUGGGCGGAAGCCUGAUGCAGCGACGCCGUGAGGGGGAUGACGGCCUUCGGGUUGUAAACUCCUUUCGACCGCGAGGAAGCCACCUGGUUGGAAGGGUGGUGACGGUAGUGGUAGAAGAAGCACCGGCUAACUACGUG
rnacentral:rRNA from 1 species